UACGAAGGGGGCUAGCGUUGUUCGGAAUUACUGGGCGUAAAGCGCGCGCAGGCGGCUAUCCAAGUCAGUGGUGAAAGCCCGGAGCUCAACUCCGGAACUGCCAUUGAAACUGUUUAGCUUGAGGAUGAGAGAGGUGAGUGGAAUUCCCAGUGUAGAGGUGAAAUUCGUAGAUAUUGGGAAGAACACCGGUGGCGAAGGCGGGUCUCUGGGCAACAACUGACGCUGAGGAGCGAAAGCGUGGGGAGCGAACAGG
rnacentral:rRNA from 1 species